rnacentral:rRNA from 1 species
UAAAUGGCCGCGGUAAUUUGACCGUGCAAAGGUAGCAUAAUCAUUUGCCUCGUAAUUGGGGGCUGGAAUGAAUGAAUAAACAAAGGCUUUUCUUUAUUUKGGAGAAAAAAAUAAUUUUCUUUUUUAGUGAAGAAGCUAAAAUAAAAAAGGGGACAAGAAGACCCUUUUGAGCUUUAUUAACUUUCUUUUUAUUUAGGGUUAAUUUGGUUGGGGCGACCGAGGAGAAUCCUCCUUAGUUAUGUUGAUCCCCAGGUUGCGAUUAAAAGAGUAAGUUACCAAAGGGAUAACAGCGUAAUCUUUUUUGAGAGUUCUUAUUAAAAAUUAKGAUUGCGACCUCGAUGUUGACUUAUAA